rnacentral:rRNA from 1 species
GACGAACGCUGGCGGCGUGCUUAACACAUGCAAGUCGAACGGAAAGGCCCUGCUUUUGUGGGGUGCUCGAGUGGCGAACGGGUGAGUAACACGUGAGUAACCUGCCCUUGACUUUGGGAUAACUUCAGGAAACUGGGGCUAAUACCGGAUAGGAGCUCCUGCUGCAUGGUGGGGGUUGGAAAGUUUCGGCGGUUGGGGAUGGACUCGCGGCUUAUCAGCUUGUGGGUGGGGUAGUGGCUUACCAAGGCUUUGACGGGUAGCCGGCCUGAGAGGGUGACCGGCCACAUUGGGACUGAGAUACGGCCCAGACUCCUACGGGAGGCAGAAGUGGGGAAUAUUGCACAAUGGGCGGAAGCCUGAUGCAGCAACGCCGCGUGCGGGAUGACGGCCUUCGGGUUGUAAACCGCUUUCGCCUGUGACGAAGCGUGAGUGACGGUAAUGGGUAAAGAAGCACCGGCUAACUACGUG